UUAUAUGAUGAUUAACAUUUGCGUGAACAAUCUCUGACUCAAAAUUCAAAUUUGAAUUUUAGGAUUAAAAACAUAUGUUGCCUUCCUUCUGAUA
rnacentral:snoRNA from 1 species